CAUAUUGGGACUGACAGAACAACUGACUUAAUAUUAAGACACUUUUGGUUUCCUAGUUUGCGACAGUUUGUAAAAAAGUACAUAAGUUAUUGUCUAGUAUGUUUAGCACAUAAAAAAGUUCCCAGGGCUCCGUCACAACCGAUUCAAUCCUGGACAAAGCCAGAUAUCCCUUUUUCUAUUAUACAUACCGAUGUCCUAGGGCCAAGAGUCAAACGGUUUCAAAUACGUUUUGAUUAUAGUGGAUGCAUUUUCCAAGUAUUGUUUGCUCUACUCUCUGUACAGACAAAACACUGACGAGCUAAAACGAGUUCUUUUUCAAAUGCGGUGUCAUUAUUUGGUAUGCCGUCUACAAUAGUAUGUGACCGCGCUAGAAUGUUCGAAAGCGCUACAUUCCAAAAAUGGGUCAGUGAUUUGGGAUGCUCGAUACAUUUCAUCACGCCUGGUAUGCACCGCGAAAAUGGGCAAGCGGAGCGGUACUGCAGGACAGUUCUCAACAUGCUACGUGUUGAAGUAGGCAACAAAGGUUCCCAAUGGUCCGAUGUGCUGUGGAGGAUGCAGUUCACUAUGAAUAUCUCCAAGCAAAGUACCACGCAGAAAUUACCACUACCGUUACUGGUCGGUAUUGACGCAGUUACUCCAGUCAUCAGAUCGUUAGUGCGAGAUGUGGCAUUUACUAAUUCUAAUCCCGGGAGGCUCUUUUAACUCUUCGCAGACAACGAGCUUCGGAACUCCUUGCAACCAAUCAAUAGCGCCACGAUGCCUACGUUAACGGGGGUCGACGGCAGCCACUCACUUUUGCUGUCGGAGACUUUGUGUUUGUGAGCAAGACUGCACAAAUCACCGGCAAACUGGACUCCGGCAUGCGCGGGCCUUACAAGGUUAUUCUGUGCCACCGUUACGAGUUAGAGCUACUAGCUGGUUCCUAAGGGAAAAAGACCCAAGCUGCAGCUGAAAAUAUGAUGUUGUGGCAAGGCGAGUGGACGCCGGAUGCGUGCUCAGUUUUUUUGAGACUGAGACUGCAUUAGACAAUAAUGAGCAGGUUGCAAGGGAUGAAACAAAUGAAGAGAGAAAUGGCUCUGAUGCUAGUGGUGCAAGUAAUGCUGCGGUCGAGGACGCCGCACUGUCAGGAACGGCCGUCUUAUAAAACAAUCUCCACAGAGCAAGUCGGACCGAGUGAGGGGUAACAGAGAGGAGUGGAACUGGGAACACCGGAAAUGUGGCGAUUGGCGCGCGGACGUGACAGACGCGGGAGUUUUUUGUUGUUUAUGGUGGCGUUGUGUAAAUGAUUUGUCUUCUGGUUGCGUAUAAUUUCAUUGUGGUAUUUUAGUUAAUUAAAAAUUGUUUUGUAAGGAAUAAAACUUCCUAGGUUGAGUG